ensembl:lncRNA
CUAGUAAGUUUCACUGUGUAGGGUGGGCCAGCAAAGGCAGGGUCAUGACCCUGUUCUUUCUUUGUUUCAGCGCAUCUGCUUAGGAAUUCUGAACUAUUUUAGAUCUGUUGAGCGAACACUGACGAUCAACACUUCAGGCCUUACCUUGGUUUCAGGGAGCCUGGUCCCUACCUCAGAAGACAGUUCCUGGGUAAAUAAAGCAAAAGGAGGCAUGGGCACCUCGCAAGGCCUAGGCGCUCACCACUAUGCCCACGGGACACCUGCCGAGCACAGGGUCCAGAGCAUCCAAUUCAUGGAGUUCUCAGAAGUGGAGAACCAGGAUGACUACUACAGUAUGGAUGCUGGUUACAUCCACACCCAGGACCAGCAAGGAGUGUAUGUCAUGUAUGAUGCAGCCUUGAGUGAUCUGAAGGACCUAGAGACAGAACUGCUGCUUGUGGCCAGCCAUUACAUUGAGAGAGAAAAAGGUCACAAAGAGGGCAGCAAGUCACAUAUUGACCAGGACUGGGGAUGGACCCAUGCAGGUGUGGACAGAUUUGCUGUGCUGUAUGACAUGUGGACUUGGGAAGCAACUCUUCUAGAAAGCAAGCGCCAGCUUCUUGACAGUUACUUUGAAGCCUACCAGCAUGCAUUGGACCCAGAGGAGAGAUUUGCCUUAGCACAAGUGAUCACAGACAUCAUGCACAGGUGCCCAAGGUUUGACUUCAGUCAUCCUUACUUCAUUAAGGCCUACCGAGAGGAAUGCACCUGCCUGAGGCUUCACCUGCAGCUGGUGAGGGGCAUCCUCAAUCAGCACAUAGAGUGUCAGCGUGAGUAUGUCCAGAGGCUUUGGCAAAAAGGCCAUCCAGAUGCUAGCAAUACAUUUGGACUUCCCCUUAACAUAAUUUGCAAACAACUCAUUUUCAUCAACAAUAGCUGGUAAGUUAGUGUUGUCUUCAGACAUUUUACAUUUAAUUUCUGGAUAAUUUAAGGGUAUGCUGUUAAGUACACUACUGUUCUACAAAGCACCACUCGAGUAUUUGGUGAUGAGAGAAGUAAAUAUAAAAGGCAUAGAAGAGGGAUUCCUUUGUGAACUCAAUAUUGAUUCACUUUGCAAAUAAGGAACAGGAGGC